rnacentral:rRNA from 1 species
GACGAACCGUGCGAACGUUGUUCGGAAUCACUGGGCAUAAAGGGCGCGUAGGCGGCUUUUCAAGUCAGGGGUGAAAUCCGGCAGCUCAACUGUCGAACUGCCUUUGAUACUGAAGAUCUUGAGUUCGGGAGAGGUGAGUGGAACUGCGAGUGUAGAGGUGAAAUUCGUAGAUAUUCGGAAGAACACCAGUGGCGAAGGCGACACACUGGCUCACUACUGACGCUGAGGCGCGAAAGCGUGGGGAGCAAACAGG